AGAUGACCCUUUAACCUCCGAUGAUUAUAUCUGGAAUAGAGAAUUCAUGGCCCGGAUGAAAAAGUUUGUCAAGGACCAACCUGAUGAUUUAUCUCUUUCGGUCAAUAAAGCUAAGGAAGACGAGCCUUCUGGAUUUCUUAGCUUGAAUAGAGUCAUGGCCCUUGAUAGUUUGGAAGUUGAUUUGAGCAAAGAACUACUGGCUCCUCCAAUGCCUCGGUCAGAAGACGUAGUCGAGAAAAAUAUUCCGAUUGAUAACCGCAAGUCACCCAGAUGGAAGUUAUCACCAACAAGGCG
rnacentral:misc_RNA from 1 species